rnacentral:rRNA from 1 species
UCGGGAAUAUUGCGCAAUGGAGGAAACUCUGACGCAGUGACGCCGCGUAUAGGAAGAAGGUUUUCGGAUUGUAAACUAUUGUCGUUAGGGAAGAUAAAAGACAGUACCUAAGGAGGAAGCUCCGGCUAACUACGUGCCAGCAGCCGCGGUAAUACGUAGGGAGCAAGCGUUAUCCGGAUUUAUUGGGUGUAAAGGGUGCGUAGACGGGAAAUUAAGUUAGUUGUGAAAUCCCUCGGCUCAACUGAGGAACUGCAACUAAAACUGGUUUUCUUGAGUGCAGGAGAGGUAAAUGGAAUUCCUAGUGUAGCGGUGAAAUGCGUAGAUAUUAGGAGGAACACCAGUGGCGAAGGCGACUUACUGGACUGUAACUGACGUUGAGGCACGAAAGUGUGGGGGAGCAAAAC